UGAAAUCUCACCUUUCAUUUGCAGUUUUAUAAAGUACAUGUACAUAAAAAAGUGAUUUUAAAUUAUUUUUUAAAUUAAUUAAAUAACAAUAAAAUGGAUGUAAGAACAUAGAUUAAGUCCAUGUAUGUACCAGUACACAUUAUCUCCAAGACUUGUUUUAUACAUAAAUGUAAUUGUUUAUAAGUUAUGUCUCAGUACAUAAUGAUAUGAAGUUUCAUAAAUUUCACCUGAAAAUUGAGGAUGAAUAUUGUACACAAAUGCACGACUUUGAAUCUCAGGCGUUACAAAAAUUUGAUGACACAAGGUUUUUGCACUUAAAAGUAUACAUGUAAAACAAAUACCUGGUACAUGGUUUAUAUGCAGGAGGCAGCAUAAGGUGAAAUAAAAAUUAAGAUGUAUGUUGCAUGAUAUAGGGUUAAAAAUGAGAAACUCUGUUAAAAGGAAUUGCAUAUAAGCAUAUACAUGUAUACACAUGGCAUUGUCAUAUAAUGUGAGCCAUCCAUUAGUCUUUUAUGAAUUGUAUAUUCAUAGUUUUUUUUUUAUCAAAGGUGAAAUUAUUGCUACAGUUAUAUGACUCACAAUGAGCAUAAUUUUCUACUGAUAAAAAAAACCUAGCUUAAUAAGUUUUUAUUGUAAAGAAAUAUUUCACAUAGAAAACAGAUUUUAAAGAUUGCAGUAAGUCCAGUGUGGAACAUGUUUUUAAAUAAGUUCAUGUAAAUCAUGUAUGGUAUCCAUGCAUGUAAGAGGAUCUUGGUCAUUCACAAAGUGGAUAGAUAGAUUUGUAUUACUUGUAUUUUAUUAGACAGUUUUGGCAUUUAUGAAGUGUCUACUCUUGCACACACAUAUUUGAAGGCUCUAUUUUUUUUCAUUAACCAUUUCUGUAUAUAGUUGUGUUUAAGAUAAGAUUUCUUGAUUCAUUCAAUUCUUUUGUUGUUACACAGCAAACAUUGAUGAAAAACUUUAUUUUUAAAAUCUGAAUUAUAUUGAAACAAUAGAUUUGAAUUUAUUUAAUUAUGACAUACUUCAUUGUGUUAUGCUAAAGCAAAAAUUUUUGCCUUAAUUCUAAAUGUAGUGUUUGCAUUAAUUCUAGGAAAAAUUAACUUAAGACUAUGAGUGUUUCUUGUCACAAAAGUACAAGAUGAUUCGUUUAAAUUUAAUUCCUAUUUCACAACUAAGAUAUUUAUUUAGUCCUCAACAAGUGAAAUUAAUUUAUAACAUCAAUUUUUAAUAGAACUGUAUUUUUUUUUCUAUUUGCAUUGAUUUACAUACAUCUGUUGGUAGUACUUUUUGUCUUCAGACAAGAAAACCCAAACUUGUGAGCAAACAUAAAUUGUUUAGUACUAGUGGAAUCCUAGAUUCUUGACUGGUGUGGGAUUUAAAUUCUACAAGAUAUAUAGACAUCCACUAUUUGUAUUUUAUCGUUGAUUAUAUUGAAUAAACCAGUUGUUCUU
rnacentral:misc_RNA from 1 species